UACGUAGGGGGCGAGCGUUGUCCGGAAUUAUUGGGCGUAAAGAGCUCGUAGGCGGUUUGUCGCGUCUGCUGUGAAAACUCGGGGCUUAACCCCGGGCCUGCAGUGGGUACGGGCAGACUAGAGUGCGGUAGGGGAGACUGGAAUUCCUGGUGUAGCGGUGAAAUGCGCAGAUAUCAGGAGGAACACCGGUGGCGAAGGCGGGUCUCUGGGCCGUAACUGACGCUGAGGCACGAAGGCCAGGGGAGCAAACGGG
rnacentral:rRNA from 1 species